GAUGAACGCUGGCGGCGUGCCUAAUACAUGCAAGUCGAGCGAACGGACGAGAAGCUUGCUUCUCUGAUGUUAGCGGCGGACGGGUAAGUAACACGUGGAUAACCUACCUAUAAGACUGGGAUAACUUCGGGAAACAGGAGAUAAUAACGGAUAAUAUUUUGAACCGCAUGGUUCAAAAGUGAAAGACGGUCUUGCUGUCACUUAUAGAUGGAUCCGCGCUGCAUUAGCUAGUUGGUAAGGUAACGGCUUACCAAGGCAACGAUGCAUAGCCGACCUGAGAGGGUGAUCGGCCACACUGGAACUGAGACACGGUCCAGACUCCUACGGGAGGCAGCAGUAGGGAAUCUUCCGCAAUGGGCGAAAGCCUGACGGAGCAACGCCGCGUGAGUGAUGAAGGUCUUCGGAUCGUAAAACUCUGUUAUUAGGGAAGAACAUAUGUGUAAGUAUCUGUGCACAUCUUGACGGUACCUAAUCAGAAAGCCACGGCUAACUACGUG
rnacentral:rRNA from 1 species